rnacentral:rRNA from 1 species
CGAGGCAUCUGGGAUGGCGGAAUGAACUUGGCUUUGAGGCCAGCUUGCUGGUACCCGGGCCUGGGGAUUUCUGUUCGUUCUAGGUGUUUUUGCGGUCGAACAAGGCUUUGCGAGCCUGGUUGGGUGCCGAGCUGGGUGUCGGUGGCGGUCGCAUGCGACACGUACUGUGCCACCAGUUCGGUCCUGGCCGAGCUCACUCCAUGUUCAAUCUCGGCGUAAAAGCUGGUCAUCUUUCCGACCCGUCUUGAAACACGGACCAAGGAGUUUAUCGUGUGCGCGAGUCAUUGGGCGUUGAAAACCCAAAGGCGCAAUGAAAGUAAAUGUAUCCGCUCGGAACUGAUGUGCGACCCUGGUCACUGCGGUGGCCAGGAGCAGCAUGGCCCCAUCCUGACUGCUUGCAGUGGGGUGGAGGAAGAGCGUACGCGAUGAGA